UGCAUCGGCCGGGAAUCAAACCCAGGCCGCCCGCGUGGCAGGCGAGCAUUCUACCACUGAAUCACCGAUGC
rnacentral:tRNA from 1 species